rnacentral:tRNA from 1 species
ACCUGAGUGGCUCAGUCGGUUAAGCUACCGACUUGGGCUCGGGCCAUAAUCUCAUGGUUCGUGGGUUCGAGCCCUGCAUCAGGUU